rfam:Streptomyces albus subsp. albus strain NRRL B-2513 B2513contig80.1, whole genome shotgun sequence.
CUUGAUGGAGCCGAGGUAGAGCGGGUGGUCGGCGGGGCGGUCCUGCCCAUAGGUGGCCAGCAGGGCCUGGGCCUC